rnacentral:siRNA from 1 species
AGCAUAUGGUCUCAUCAAUAUCAU